UGCAAGUCGAACGAUGAUGCCCAGCUUGCUGGGUUGAUUAGUGGCGAACGGGUGAGUAACACGUGAGUAACCUGCCCCUGACUCUGGGAUAAGCGUUGGAAACGACGUCUAAUACUGGAUAUGAUCACUGGUCGCAUGGCCUGGUGGUGGAAAGAUUUUUUGGUUGGGGAUGGACUCGCGGCCUAUCAGCUUGUUGGUGAGGUAAUGGCUCACCAAGGCGACGACGGGUAGCCGGCCUGAGAGGGUGACCGGCCACACUGGGACUGAGACACGGCCCAGACUCCUACGGGAGGCAGCAGUGGGGAAUAUUGCACAAUGGGCGAAAGCCUGAUGCAGCAACGCCGCGUGAGGGAUGACGGCCUUCGGGUUGUAAACCUCUUUUAGUAGGGAAGAAGCGAAAGUGACGGUACCUGCAGAAAAAGCACCGGCUAACUACGUGCCAGCAGCCGCGGUAAUACGUAGGGUGCAAGCGUUGUCCGGAAUUAUUGGGCGUAAAGAGCUCGUAGGCGGUUUGUCGCGUCUGCUGUGAAAUCCCGAGGCUCAACCUCGGGCUUGCAGUGGGUACGGGCAGACUAGAGUGCGGUAGGGGAGAUUGGAAUUCCUGGUGUAGCGGUGGAAUGCGCAGAUAUCAGGAGGAACACCGAUGGCGAAGGCAGAUCUCUGGGCCGUAACUGACGCUGAGGAGCG
rnacentral:rRNA from 1 species